GAGAGCUGUCUGGAACCGCUUGCGCGCCUCUGCCUAGGAGCUGGACCUGCUGCUGGCCACUUCCGGAGUGCAGCGCGGUCUGCGCUGCCAGGACAGGCUGGAAGCCUGCCCCUGCAGCCCAGCUGCGCCACUGACUGGGAGCUGCUGGAGGUAAGCCUGUGCCCCA